rnacentral:rRNA from 1 species
GUAGCGGUAAAGUUAGACCAAACCAUGAAACCAACAUAAACAUUAUUGCCCGGCGUACGGGGAAGGACGUCAAUAGUCACACAGUCCUUGACGGUAUAAUAACCACCAUCAUGGCGACCAUCCAAAGGAUAAACAUCAUAGGCAGUCGGGAGGGUAGUCGGAACCGAAGAAGACUCAAAGCGAACCAAACAGGCAAAAAAUUUAGGGUCGGCAUCAAAAGCAAUAUCAGCACCAACAGAAACAACCUGAUUAGCGGCGUUGACAGAUGUAUCCAUCUGAAUGCAAUGAAGAAAACCACCAUUCCCAGCAUUAACCGUCAAUCUAUCAAAAUAUAACGUUGACGAUGUAGC